rnacentral:rRNA from 1 species
AGAGUUUGAUCAUGGCUCAGGACGAACGCUGGCGGCGUGCUUAACACAUGCAAGUCGAACGGAAAGGCCCUGCUUUUGUGGGGUGCUCGAGUGGCGAACGGGUGAGUAACACGUGAGUAACCUGCCCUUGACUUUGGGAUAACUUCAGGAAACUGGGGCUAAUACCGGAUAGGAGCUCCUGCUGCAUGGUGGGGGUUGGAAAGUUUCGGCGGUUGGGGAUGGACUCGCGGCUUAUCAGCUUGUUGGUGGGGUAGUGGCUUACCAAGGCUUUGACGGGUAGCCGGCCUGAGAGGGUGACCGGCCACAUUGGGACUGAGAUACGGCCCAGACUCCUACGGGAGGCAGCAGUGGGGAAUAUUGCACAAUGGGCGGAAGCCUGAUGCAGCAACGCCGCGUGCGGGAUGACGGCCUUCGGGUUGUAAACCGCUUUCGCCUGUGACGAAGCGUGAGUGACGGUAAUGGGUAAAGAAGCACCGGCUAACUACGUGCCAGCAGCCGCGGUGAUACGUAGGGUGCGAGCGUUGUCCGGAUUUAUUGGGCGUAAAGGCUCGUAGGUGGUUGAUCGCGUCGGAAGUGUAAUCUUGGGGCUUAACCCUGAGCGUGCUUUCGAUACGGGUUGACUUGAGGAAGGUAGGGGAGAAUGGAAUUCCUGGUGGAGCGGUGGAAUGCGCAGAUAUCAGGAGGAACACCAGUGGCGAAGGCGGUUCUCUAGGCCUUUCCUGACGCUGAGGAGCGAAAGCGUGGGGAGCGAACAGGAUUAGAUACCCCGGUA